GGCGGUUUGAUAAGUNUGAAGUUAAAGGCUGUGGCUCANCCAUAGUUCGCUUUGGAAACUGUCAAACUUGAGUGCAGAAGGGGAGAGUGGAAUUCCAUGUGUAGCGGUGAAAUGCGUAGAUAUAUGGAGGAACACCGGUGGCGAAAGCGGCUCUCUGGUCUGUAACUGACGCUGAGGCUCGAAAGCGUGGGGAGCGAACAGGAUUAGAUACCCUGGUAGUCCACGCCGUAAACGAUGAGUGCUAGGUGUUGGAUCCUUUCCGGGAUUCAGUGCCGCAGCUAACGCAUUAAGCACUCCGCCUGGGGAGUACGACCGCAAGGUUGAAACUCAAAGGAAUUGACGGGGGCCCGCACAAGCGGUGGAGCAUGUGGUUUAAUUCGAAGCAACGCGAAGAACCUUACCAGGUCUUGACAUCCCGAUGCUAUUCUUAGAGAUAGGAAGUUACUUCGGUACAUCGGAGACAGGUGGUGCAUGGUUGUCGUCAGCUCGUGUCGUGAGAUGUUGGGUUAAGUCCCGCAACGAGCGCAACCCUUAUUGUUAGUUGCCAUCAUUAAGUUGGGCACUCUAGCGAGACUGCCGGUAAUAAACCGGAGGAAGGUGGGGAUGACGUCAAAUCAUCAUGCCCCUUAUGACCUGGGCUACACACGUGCUACAAUGGUCGGUACAACGAGUUGCGAGCCGGUGACGGCAAGCUAAUCUCUGAAAGCCGAUCUCAGUUCGGAUUGGAGGCUGCAACUCGCCUCCAUGAAGUCGGAAUCGCUAGUAAUCGCGGAUCAGCACGCCGCGGUGAAUACGUUCCCGGGCCUUGUACACACCGCCCGUCACACCACGAGAGUUUGUAACACCCGAAGUCGGUGAGGUAACC
rnacentral:rRNA from 1 species